GAGUUUGAUCAUGGCUCAGGAUGAACGCUAGCGGCAGGCCUAACACAUGCAAGUCGAGGGGUAACAGGAAGUGCUUGCACUUCGCUGACGACCGGCGCACGGGUGAGUACCGCGUAUACAAUCUGCCUCAUACUAGGGGAUAGCCCGAAGAAAUUUGGAUUAAUACCCUAUAGUAUCUUUUUAAGGCAUCUUAUUAAGAUUAAAGGUUACGGUAUGAGAUGAGUAUGCGUUCUAUUAGCUAGUAGGUGUGGUAACGGCACACCCAGGCUACGAUAGAUAGGGGCCCUGAGAGGGGGAUCCCCCACACUGGUACUGAGACACGGACCAGACUCCUACGGGAGGCAGCAGUGAGGAAUAUUGGACAAUGGGCGAAAGCCUGAUCCAGCCAUGCCGCGUGCAGGAUGACUGCCCUAUGGGUUGUAAACUGCUUUUAUAUAGGAAGAAAAACUUUCUCGUGAGAAAGCUUGACGGUACUAUAAGAAUAAGGAUCGGCUAACUCCGUGCCAGCAGCCGCGGUAAUACGGAGGAUCCAAGCGUUAUCCGGAAUCAUUGGGUUUAAAGGGUCCGUAGGUGGACAAAUAAGUCAGAGGUGAAAUCCUGCAGCUCAACUGUAGAACUGCCUUUGAUACUGUUUGUCUUGAGUUAUUAUGAAGUGGUUAGAAUGUGUAGUGUAGCGGUGAAAUGCAUAGAUAUUACACAGAAUACCGAUUGCGAAGGCAGAUCACUAAUAAUUAACUGACACUGAGGGACGAAAGCGUGGGUAGCGAACAGGAUUAGAUACCCUGGUAGUCCACGCCGUAAACGAUGGUCACUAGCUGUUUGGACUUCGGUCUGAGUGGCUAAGCGAAAGUGAUAAGUGACCCACCUGGGGAGUACGUUCGCAAGAAUGAAACUCAAAGGAAUUGACGGGGGCCCGCACAAGCGAUGGAGCAUGUGGUUUAAUUCGAUGAUACGCGAGGAACCUUACCAGGGCUUAAAUGUUAGGUGACAGAUCUAGAAAUAGAUUUUUCUUCGGACACUUAACAAGGUGCUGCAUGGUUGUCGUCAGCUCGUGCCGUGAGGCGUCAGGUUAAGUCCUAUAACGAGCGCAACCCCUGUUGUUAGUUGCCAGCGAGUAAUGUCGGGAACUCUAGCAAGACUGCCAGUGCAAACUGUGAGGAGGGUGGGGAUGACGUCAAAUCAUCACGGCCCUUACGUCCUGGGCUACACACGUGCUACAAUGGUAGGUACAGAGAGCAGCCAAUGCGCGAGCAUGAGCAAAUCUAUAAAACCUAUCUCAGUUCGGAUCGGAGUCUGCAACUCGACUCCGUGAAGCUGGAAUCGCUAGUAAUCGGAUAUCAGCCAUGAUCCGGUGAAUACGUUCCCGGGCCUAGUACACACCGCCCGUCAAGCCAUGGAAGUUGGGAGUGCCUGAAGUCCGUUUCCGCAAGGAUCGGCCUAGGGUAAAAUCGAUAACUAGGGCUAAGUCGUAACAAGGUAACC
rnacentral:rRNA from 1 species